rnacentral:snRNA from 1 species
AUCUUUGCGCUUGGGGCAAUGACGCAGCUAAUGAGGUACUAACCGAGGCGCGUCUAUUGCUGGUUGAAAACUAUUUCCAAACCCCCUCCUGGGCCUAAGCUUGUCUUGGGCCUUCGAGAAUUUCUGGAAGGGCUCCCUUUGGGUAAAGCCCUA